UGCAGGCUGCAACCCGCCUGCACGAAGCCGGAGUUGCUAGUAAUCGCGAAUCAGAAUGUCGCGGUGAAUGCGUUCCCGGGUCUUGUACACACCGCCCGUCACACCAUGGAAGUUGGGGGUGCCCAAAGCCGGCAAGCAAAUACGCUGUCUAAGGCAAAACCAAUGACUGGGGUGAAGUCGUAACAAGGUACC
rnacentral:rRNA from 1 species